GACGAACGCUGGCGGCGUGCUUAACACAUGCAAGUCGAACGGAAAGGCCCUGCUUGCAGGGUCCUCGAGUGGCGAACGGGUGAGUAACACGUGGGUGAUCUGCCCUGCACUUCGGGAUAAGCCUGGGAAACUGGGUCUAAUACCGGAUAGGAGCCAUUUUUAGUGUGAUGGUUGGAAAGUUUUUUCGGUGUAGGAUGAGCUCGCGGCCUAUCAGCUUGUUGGUGGGGUAAUGGCCUACCAAGGCGGCGACGGGUAGCCGGCCUGAGAGGGUGGACGGCCACAUUGGGACUGAGAUACGGCCCAGACUCCUACGGGAGGCAGCAGUGGGGAAUAUUGCACAAUGGGCGCAAGCCUGAUGCAGCGACGCCGCGUGGGGGAUGACGGCCUUCGGGUUGUAAACUCCGUUCGCUAGGGACGAAGCUUUUUGUGACGGUACCUAGAUAAGAAGCACCGGCUAACUACGUG
rnacentral:rRNA from 1 species